GAACCUGCGGAAGGAUCAUUACCGAGUGUAGGGUUCCUAGCGAGCCCAACCUCCCACCCGUGUUUACUGUACCUUAGUUGCUUCGGCGGGCCCGCCAUUCAUGGCCGCCGGGGGCUCUCAGCCCCGGGCCCGCGCCCGCCGGAGACACCACGAACUCUGUCUGAUCUAGUGAAGUCUGAGUUGAUUGUAUCGCAAUCAGUUAAAACUUUCAACAAUGGAUCUCUUGGUUCCGGCAUCGAUGAAGAACGCAGCGAAAUGCGAUAACUAGUGUGAAUUGCAGAAUUCCGUGAAUCAUCGAGUCUUUGAACGCACAUUGCGCCCCCUGGUAUUCCGGGGGGCAUGCCUGUCCGAGCGUCAUUGCUGCCCAUCAAGCACGGCUUGUGUGUUGGGUCGUCGUCCCCUCUCCGGGGGGGACGGGCCCCAAAGGCAGCGGCGGCACCGCGUCCGAUCCUCGAGCGUAUGGGGCUUUGUCACCCGCUCUGUAGGCCCGGCCGGCGCUUGCCGAACGCAAAUCAAUCUUUUCCAGGUUGACCUCGGAUCAGGUAGGGAUACCCACUGAACUUAAGCAUAUCAAUG
rnacentral:sRNA from 1 species